UAUAGUGGUUUCGUUCUUUUAAUAUGGAACACAUUUUUGUUUUCUAUAUAGGGGUGCAAAUUAGAAACUCAAGAAAAAUACACGUAGGAAUGUGGUCAGCUUUUGAACAAUUACAGCUCAGUCAAUGUUGUAUCAAUUAUUAACAUUAUGUCACCAUUUGAUUGGAAAUAUUUCUACGUAUUGAUUUGAAUGUUCAUAGCCAUGUAUUUUUAAUUGUAUAUCAUUGAAAUGUUGAUUAAUAGCUAGCACUGUCCUAUUUUGUCUGCAAAAAAUCCCCGGCAUCGAUUGAUAAUGAGAAAAAGUUUAUCGCUUCAACCGAAAUCGCAGAAUGGUAGUAAUGUGUCGAAAUUAAAAUACAACCGGCGGAGGUUGAGACGAUCCGGCUAAGGUCGAGGUAAUAUAACGCAGGAAUUCCGACGGAGGUUGAAGCAAAGCAGCGACAAUUACAAUUCGACAACGGUCGAGGUGGUUUUCGGCAUUUUUAUUAUCUGGAAAAUUAUUGGCGGGUGAGCUUAAAGGCAAUCGACUAUUUUUGACUGUGUUGGUAAUUUUCACCCGAAAUCAAAUGGCGGCCGACAAGAAGUAAGUAAAUAUCGUAACAAAACAUUCGAAUCUAUUCGAUUUUAUACUGCAUUGGACGAGGAGAAGAAGGUACAAUUCUGUUUUUAAUUUUAGCAAUAUGUACUAAAUCUGUAUCCUGCAUGAAAUUCGCAUGGACGUAUACAAAUCAAUACAUUACAAAUAAUUCUGUAUGAAUGGCAACUCUGUUGGUAAAUGAAAAAGAUAAACACAGUCUAGAUGACAGACUAGAUGUUAACGUGGGUAACGUGGCGCCAUCAUGUCAUAUGCGAGAACUGUUCCAAGUAAUGGAAUAUUCGAAAUGACCGUUAAAAUGAUUAAACAAUCCAACUAGAGUGUCCUGUCUGUCAGUCUGUGUGCAUGUUUCUUCUAUUUCAGAUGUAAAUAAUCCUUGUGUAAUUGAAUGUAAAAUUGAAAAUAAAUUUAUAAAUAUGGAAAUAGAUUGUGAUUAGGCAUCGGUGUCAGUAAUGAGUUAAAUUUUAUGAACAACUUAAGUAAAUUUAGUGAACAGUUAAUGGUGGUUAAUGGGUCAAAGCUAAAAAUUGUGGGGGAGAAACUAAUGUUUCGAUUGAACUGAAGGGUUUUAUAAAAAUGCUUCUUUCGAAAGUGGAAGUUGACAGGUUGCUUAUUGGCCGUUCUCAAAAAAAAAAAAAAAAACGCGUGAUAUGUUGAAUGUGAUGCCGUGCGAUGGCGUUACUGAACAUAUGAGGCAUUUGGUGGACAAUCAGAGCGCUCAGAGUAUGGUAAAAAAACAAUCGAGCAUUUGAAAUCGAGUAAAGUCUUAAUUUACUUCAUCGUAGUGAUGAUAUUCUGAUCGAUAAUUUGUGGGAAAGUGUGGUAAAGGGUAUUGAAUAAACAAUAAGUUAGUAAUAUCCAAAUUUUUGUUAGCCAUUAUUCUUUAUUGUUUUGAUCUUUGCAGAAGGAUGCUGACCACAGUUACAUGACAUCAUAAGCGUCCCUUACACGAUCAUUAAAAGUGUCAUUACUAAGUAAUGCACUUCUGCUCAAACGCUCGUUAUUAUUGCAUUAAUGUAUAUCAUUACUUUUUAACAUUACACGUUCAUUAUUAAUGAUGAGUAUUUCUAACUACUCCAGCACGGAGCUUGUAACCAGAAUAACUUUU